rnacentral:rRNA from 1 species
UACGUAGGGGGCAAGCGUUAUCCGGAUUUACUGGGUGUAAAGGGAGCGUAGGUGGCAUGGUAAGCCAGAAGUGAAAACCCGGGGCUCAACCCCGCGGAUUGCUUUUGGAACUAUCAGGCUGGAGUGCUGGAGGGGUAAGCGGAAUUCCUAGUGUAGCGGUGGAAUGCGUAGAUAUUAGGAGGAACACCGGUGGCGAAGGCGGCUUACUGGACAGAAACUGACACUGAGGCUCGAAAGCGUGGGGAGCAAACAGG